UUAAUCUGGAUUUGAAUCUAGUAAUAAAUCAUACUGUUUUAAAAAAUUGGCAACAGCUAAUAGCAAUUUCACGGUUUCAGGGCUCAGUGCGCUAAUACGCUGGCUGAGAGCCAAGUUUUAUUCCCCUCACAUCGGUGUUUACCUAUCGAAAAAUCCGAGUUUCCUGUAUCUGAGCUAUCCGAAACACGCCCGAUUGAGAGCGUAGAGAGGAAUUCGGCGAAUGAAAGCACUGACGACUUGAUGUCAAAAUCCGCCAACAUGCAUUAGUCUAUCAGCCUCGAUUCAUCGAGAAAUUCAUCACGUGCGGCAAUAGGUUAAUUAUUAUCCUUUACAAUGAUUUUAGAGUAAAUAUAUGAAUGUAUAAGACGUUUUUCAUGGGUUGGUUCGUUGGAAAAAAUGUGGGUAUUUAAAACGCAAUAUGGGUGGCAUAUCAUUGCUCCUCUGGCAUGAGGGCGUAUCUUGAUUUCCGCAUGAGCCCAAGAAAACAUGAAUUUAUAUGUAAAAUAGGGCUCACGUAGAAAUUGAGGUACGUUCUCACGACGGAAAGUCGCCAAUAUAGCAGGAAAAACCAACUUUAAGGCGAGAUGGUGCUUGCUCGUUGAAGGAGCAAUUGGCAGAAUUUGUAUUUUUCAUCCUGAUAUAAAACAUUUUGAUACCCUAAGUCUCAAUCAAUGAUCCAAACGAUUUUUGUGUGUUUAUUGUUGGCCAAAAAUAUAUUUUUGAUUGAAAAUAAUAUCUCGGUUUUGAUAAUUUUACCGAGUUUUUAACCGAAACAGGGAGGGGUCAAUCGAAUAACGGAGGGAUCACAGGGAAGAGUAUCAGAGGUACCACUUUAGAUUUCGAAAUAGAAGUAAUGGUGAAUGGCGAACGGGAACCAAGUGCCCAUUGAUGAAAAUUGAAUUUUAUGGGGUAAAGUGUCAAUCAGAAGCAAUAGGUGAACCUCUCGUUUCCGUAAAGUUUGGUUCUUUACAGCCUAUCUUCGAAUUUUGAUUGGUCAGCGCACGCUCAUUAAUCAUGUCCGUUUGUUAAGUCAGAACAUUUCAUAAAAUGUUUGAGAAAAUAAAUGCAAAAUACUCAUUUACACAAGACUGAGGGUGGCAAGUAGUCUCUGAGAAGUGCUGUAUCUAUGAAUCACUGUUUGAAUCGAUCAUUUUUCAUCUGAGAAUCUUUUUGUUAAGGACACUGGUAUUCUGAUAAAUUUGGCAGUAUUUUGUUGUAGAAUUUCACCCCGAAUAAAAAUAAAAUUACAGGCUUCCAAUCAAAUUCUGCUCGAGUAAUUAAAGUUUUAAAGUUACCAUAAUAUCAUGCAAUUUUUGCUUGAAGGUGAAUAUAAAUGAACCCUGUACCUUUUUUUAAUCUCUGGACUUAAGGUAAAAUUAGUAGGCAAAAUUUUCGCUGUAAAUUAAUUUUCUGAAUUGUUUAUCUCACAUUUUUGUAUUUUCUUUCAUAAUAACAAACAAGUAGCUUUUUACCGCAAGAAUAUCACUAUAUUUUGAUCAACAUAACAUUAUUUCAAGUACAUAUUUCAACAUAUUAAUAAUAAUUAUCUCUAAAACAAUAUUCGAACGAUAUAUUUACACGCUACUAUAAAAAGAAAAACAGGCUAAUAAAAGAUUCCUAUGUUACUAAGUAAAUGAUAAUUUUUCAGUUAUACGUUAAUAUCACUUUAAAACAAGUAAUCGAAAUAAAUUCUUUACUUUGAAGAAAGUUCCAAUUGAUAAAUACCUUAGUCUUAAGUGAAGCAAUCAGCAAAAAAAAAAUAAAGAAAAAAAGAGAAUGAAACAAAAAGAUUUAUUAAAAAUCGACGAGUAAACAUAAAAUAGAGGAAACAUAUGAAUUAUAAUAUCUACAAUAAAGAUUCGUCGGAUUUGGA
rnacentral:lncRNA from 1 species